UACGAAGGGGGCUAGCGUUGUUCGGAAUCACUGGGCGUAAAGGGCGCGUAGGCGGCUUUAUAAGUCGGGGGUGAAAGCCUGUGGCUCAACCACAGAAUUGCCUUCGAUACUGUAGAGCUUGAGACCGGAAGAGGUAAGUGGAACUGCGAGUGUAGAGGUGAAAUUCGUAGAUAUUCGCAAGAACACCAGUGGCGAAGGCGGCUUACUGGACCGGUUCUGACGCUGAGGCGCGAAAGCGUGGGGAGCAAACGGG
rnacentral:rRNA from 1 species